CUCACAGAUAAUGGAGCUUACAUCGGGCGUGUGCCUAUAAACAAACCAAACCUGGACUACUUUUUUACCUGGGUAAACCUGCGUCAAUGCUGAACGUUACAUGAUAGUAUAGGUGAGUGUAAGUACAUGUUGACAUUACAGUGUGGGGUGUACGUCAAUAAUGUAUUAACAACAAACGACAGUCUGUUAAACCAUAGACAUCUACCAUAAUACAUCGAUAUACAACCACGAAUCAACAUGGAGUGUUCAGGAAUAAUACUUAUAUCUAUUAACAUUUUAUUUAUGCUAAUAGGUUUAGCCGUAUUGAUAAUAGGAAUAGUGUUUAAAGUGAACUUUGAACCAAUAGAAUAUGCUUUUAUUGAUGAUAGUGAAAAAACUGACUUUAAUCUGAGUUACGCUUUUACCACGCUGACCUAUAGUUUGAUUGUCUUUGGUGUAUUUAUUAUCCUGGUAGCGCUGCUGGGAUUUUCCGGUGCUUUCUUUAAAUCAAAAAUAAUUCUUGUUGCAUACGCUAUAAUUGUGAUGACAAUACUGGUGGCUGAGAUUACUGUUGUUACUGUGGCUGUAACCAAGGGAACCAACGCAGAAAAUGAAAUAAAGGAUGGACUGAGGGAAUCUUUGGGAAAAUAUAACGAAAAUGGCUUUGAUGUGUCAUCAAAGGCUUUCAAUACCAUCUGGUCUAUGUUUGGAUGCUGUGGCAUUGAUUCCUAUGCGGAUUUUAAAGACGGGAAUAUAACCGACUUUUGUUUUCGUAUUAAAAAUACCCACGAACAGAUUCCUGUUGGCUGCUGUAAAAAUGUCGACUUUAAAGCAGCUCCUAGAAU